rnacentral:rRNA from 1 species
UACGGAGGAUCCAAGCGUUAUCCGGAUUUAUUGGGUUUAAAGGGUGCGUAGGCGGCCUGUUAAGUCAGGGGUGAAAGACGGUAGCUCAACUAUCGCAGUGCCCUUGAUACUGAUGGGCUUGAAUGUAGUUGAGGUGGGCGGAAUGUGACAAGUAGCGGUGAAAUGCAUAGAUAUGUCACAGAACACCGAUUGCGAAGGCAGCUCACUAAGCUAUGAUUGACGCUGAGGCUCGAAAGCGUGGGGAUCAAACAGG